UAGACAGUAAAAAUAGACUGUAAAGAAACUACUUUUCUCUUGUACGAUUUGAUAGCAUCUCAGAAAAUAGACAAAGAAAAAAACUACACAUGUAACUUUAAAAUUGUACUACUUAAAAUGUCAUGUGGUGAACAGCCUCCAAGUCCUCCCUGUUCUGGUCUGUCCAGAGCAACUGACCAAAGAGGGACCAACAUUGCUUCUAAGGACAUCUGCCAGCCCUACCAGCCACUCUGGAGCCAUUAG
rnacentral:lncRNA from 1 species